AAGUUAGUUAUGAUCAUGUCUCUAGUCCGGAAAAAGUUCGCUCCGAGCCUAUCCAUCUUAUUGACAAAGCAAAUUCUGGGAACCCCGUAUUUAUCCGCCUGCCUCCACACAGUCUCCGAUUGUGGCUCCACACCAGCAACACUGUCGAACAAGCAGAUGGCACCGUCCAAAACUCGGAGAGCACGUUCCACCUCAAGGGUGAAGUCCACAUGGCCAGGAGUGUCGAUGAUGU
rnacentral:lncRNA from 1 species